UUGGGGGAAAUAAUGUAGAGACAAGAAAGGGCCAGGCUAGGCAUGAGACUACUGAGUGGACAGAGCACGUAGGAACCACUCCAAAAAGACCACCGCUUCCGGAACCGGGACUGCAGACCCAGACCACAAGACCAACCUUCUACUUUUGCAGACAAGGAAGCUGAGUCCCAGAGAAGGAAAGCAAUUUGCUUAAAUUCACACAGCCGAGCUAGUGGCAACACCAAGAUCCAUCUGCUCCCCGGCCCCCCAAAGCACUGGAGCACCUGUGGCCAGCCCCCCAGGGACCGGAUGAAAUUGCUGUCUCCCAGACUCCAAGCCCAGCUCCUCCUGAAUCAGAAGCCCUGAGGAUAGUCCAGGAAUCUGCAUACUCAACAGCACUCCAGGUGACUCUCAGAUCACUCCAUGCUGCCUUUGGGGAAGACAGGCUGGAUCCUCCUCUCUUCCUGGGACUGGGAAUUUCCUUCUUGAACCUUGACUAAGCCCAUCUGGGAAGUCAGCAGGGAGGGAAAGCCUGGGUUCACUGCCCGCGCCCCGGCAAGCGCAGGCAAGUGCAGCCCUUCCCUCUCCUGGGCUCCAGCCCCUGGGCCCUGGGCCUGAGACCAGGGGGCCCCAGGGGGAGGAGUUCAGUGCUCCUUCCCCCCCCUCGCCGCCCCCCCCCAGUGC